GUGUCAGCCGCCGCGGUAAUACGUAGGGUGCGAGCGUUAAUCGGAAUUACUGGGCGUAAAGCGUGCGCAGGCGGUUCGUGAUGUCUGAUGUGAAAGCCCCGGGCUCAACCUGGGAAUUGCAUUGGAAACUAGCGGGCUGGAGUGUGGCAGAGGGGGGUGGAAUUCCACGUGUAGCAGUGAAAUGCGUAGAGAUGUGGAGGAACACCGAUGGCGAAGGCAGCCCCCUGGGCUAACACUGACGCUCAUGCACGAAAGCGUGGGGAGCAAACAGGAUUAGAAACCCUCGUAGUCC
rnacentral:rRNA from 1 species